UGCUACAGUUCUCAACAAACAGUUCUCAAACAAACCAUUUCCUAUGGCACUACUGUUUCCCUUGGAGAGAAGACAUUUUUCCUUGGUGCUGUCUUCCUGGAUGCCCAUCCAUUAUUCCCUGCUUUCUCUGUCAUCAUGCUGCUGCUGGGGAAUUUAGGGGUCUUAGCUGUGGGAAGAGAGCAAAGAGCUGCCUUUUCCUUACUAUGUUCUGAGAUACAUCCUGCUUUCUUAAGUUUAAAGGUUAUUCGGUCUUUUUAAGGUAGUUAAGAGGUAACAGAAUGUGGUAAAAAUUUUGACAGGAGAAGUCUAACAGCAUCACCACUACACCACACUCCCGAGGGUGGUAAUGAGUCAAGUGGGUGCUGUGCAUCCCAGCUCCUGUGCCCAUCUCGGAGCAUGGCUCCUGUCCCUGCUUCCUGUCCAUCCUUCCUGGUGGUUGCUCCAUGGCCCAGGAGGGAUUGUUACAGAGGGUUUCAAGUGUUGCAAAGAAGCUGUGAGAACCAGGUCCCUGUUUCCUCCUGAAGCUGGGUGCAGUUGGACUCUGUAACUCCUCUGGGCAUUUAUGAAAAUUAACGUUUGGGUCAUUUCCGCCUUAACAGCCCCUUUCCAAGGAUGUUGGUGUGUAACUUAGAGGGUUUAUUUCCUCAAGACAGAUGCCAAGCUACAAGCAUGGAAAAUCUGAAAAAUCAGAGAAACCUCUGAGAGGUCAAGAAUAAUAUAAAGUUUUUUCAAUCUGUCAUCCAAAAUGCUUGUGUAGCUCUGUGCCUUGACAGGUCUCCCAGUAACAUUGAGUAAGGUGAGUUUUGGUUCUACCUCUUUUUUUAUACAAAGCCUGCUGUGUCCUUACCUGCCCUCCCAUCCCCAACCUCCUCUGUUCACCCAGAUCCUGCAGUCUGUCUUUGUGCCUCCUCAUUUUAUCAUAGCCCUUCCUCCUGAUGCAAUGCUGCACAAAGAAAUGUCUCUGUGAGAAGCCCUAGUGCAUAUACUCUGCCUUCUCUUGUAUUGUACGUGCAUGCUUUCCUUUUCUUGUUUUUAGGGGUGUCACCAUAGUUCCAGCAUCAAAACUAUUCCCUGUUCCUCAUUACAGAUAAUUCCAUAAAUGUAUUUCUAGUGGCAUUUUUUUAUUUUUCAUGGCACUCCAACAGGAAAUGAAAGCUUCAUAGUUUUAGAGAUGCAGCUGUUCCUUGCUAAUAUCUCCCAAAAAUAAUACCAAAAAUGAGGAUGGGUUUUCUGUCUUCAAGUGUUUGUUCAUACUUUUCAAUCUGUUAAAUUUGUUUUCUUUGCACUUUGACUUGCUGAUUUGUUAAGUGUGAGAUGGUGCUUGUGUUCCUGAAAGCAAGUGCUUCAAAUUCAGGUUUAUAAAGUCAAAUUUCAGUUCCUGUGCUUGAAAAUGGGACUUAAAAAAAUCAGAAAGGAAGCUCUCUCUUUGCCCAAAACCUGCCUUGCUCUCAGGUAUUGCUUGUCACAGCUCAGCUUAUAGCCUCACAUGAUGAGUGGCCUGUGCCUAUUUGGAGGUGAGUAGAUAAACAUGCUAUCCUCUGCUCACCUAACCCUGGCUCCCAUGCCUUUUGACAGGUUUUAAAAAAGGCUGGUCUUUUUUGGUGUUUUCACAGAGGAAGAACAUUGUGCUAUUUUAUCUAGUGAAGACAAGAUACUCCAAAGCAGCAGUAACCAUGUUACAAGACCACACCUAGCUCUGGUAGCCUCAGCGCAGCAGUCUACAAAGACCAGAGACCAAUGUCUGUGCUUGUAUUUUUUACAACUUAAUCAGGUGUCACUUGUCCCUGUUAAAUAAGAGGAAGACUUGCUAGAGGGAAGAAUUCCCCAAAUGCCUUGCAAGAGCCCCAUGAUUUUCCGUAUGGGCUAUGUGAAAUAAAUCCUCUUGUCACACCAGUCCCUGCGGUACAGCCCGGUGACUGGCAGUGGGGCUGUGGCAGGCAGCAAACCUCCAGGUUUCGUUCAGGUGGAGCCAGCAAUUCACUUGAGUGUGCUGCUAAUAGCCUGCCACUUUCCACUACAGAAAAUUAAGUGCAAAAGUUUGAAAGAGAGUGACAUUAGUUUCAAGAUAUGCCAUAAUGUAUUUGUGUACAGAUUAUAAGGCUCGCUGCUUCUCUUCAUGGGGAGCUUUAUUGGCCCUUUAGACUCACCCUGUUUUUACCUGUUCUAAAUAAAGCAGGUUGUUAGGUCACCUAAAAAUCUCUUGCUUGCAUGAGAUAAAGCUUACAUCAAAAGGGGUGUUCCAAAAAGUUAGAGAAACCCAGUGCUGCCAGGACAGAAAGGUGGUAAUGCUUACUUUAGGGGAAUGUUUAUAGGAGUCAUCGACUGAAGUCCCCCAGACUUUGAUUGGAGAAUAAAUCUGAGAGGAGAUGUUCACUCUAAACACUGCAGUGGAUGGGCGGGGGAGGGCAUGCGGAUUGAACUCAGAAAAACUAAUUUUCCAUUGCUUGGAUAAUCCCUUCAGAAUCUGUUUUUUGAGCAUCAGGAAAAGAUCCUAUCUCUUUAUUAAUGCCUCUGUAGUGCUUGUGUUGGAGUGGAAUGGGUGUCAGCGGAUGAGUAGCUGUGCAAAGGCUGUUUCCAUGACUGGUCAGCAGCUGAAAGCUCUGAAGCUGAACUGUUUAAAUCUGUGAUUAUAUGCAACACAUGAAAUUUAUUCUAGAAAAUUAUGCUGGAACAUGAGAAACACUGGAAUGGCAACAUGCACUCAAACAGUCAGAUGAAUUGCAAUAUCGCAGUCCAUUAAGUCAAAUAAAAAAAUCCACUAUUGUUAAAGUGGAGAACCAAAGGUCUGUGAUAUACAUCUGUUAUUUCUCAAUAUAUUAAGCAUAGUUUGUAUCCAUUAGGACUUAAAAAUUUUAAGCUAAUCUGGUGAAUGUAUGGAUGAAUCUUGUCAAAACACAGUAUAUGUUGCCUCACUAUUUCCAAACCUCAGCAGGAUAUAGCCAGCAAUUCUGUCUUAUAUUUUCUGUGUUCUUUUAAAAACAGCUGGGUUAGAUCCAGAUCACUGGCUCAGGCUGAUACAGACAAAAUUAUGUUGUAGCUUCCAGUUUAUAUUAAAGGAGAAUAGGGAUUUUUUAAUUUAUAUUUUUGUUCUCUAGAGGAUGAGCCAUAGGUGCUACAUAACUUUGUGAAUGUUUUCAGCUGAAAAGAACAGUUUUUAUACCAUACAAAGUGGAAGUGGGGAGUACUUAAUCACCUCCAGAGACAUCUAAGGUUGAUUCUUAUAUCAAUAAUGGCUUUAUAAACUUUGUACUGUUGGAAAAGUCAAAAUGCAUAUUUGCUAUUGUUUUUUUACUUACAGUACUUAGACAUUUUUUUCUCCCUGAAGUAGAAAGGAUGACAAUAUUUUUGCCUUUGUGCCUCUCAGAUGAAAACAGGCACUUUGAAAGCAAAUUAGACACAUGAGCAGGAAAUAAUGUGGUUGUUUUGUCAUUUUCAGCCUGCGUACAGUGAGGUUUCUGUCUGAUGGGCUGGUGAAAGGGAAUGCAAGGAUGAGUUGCUUGACAGUGUGUAAUCUGUCAAUAUAUAAUUUGUCAACAUAUAAUCUAAAGCAGCCUCUGGAGAAAUAAGUACAUGCUUUGUGGUUGCAUUCAUAAUGAAUUCAAUGAAAUGCAGAAACUUUGUAUAAAGCCCGGAUAAUCUAGCCAUAAAACUAUGCUAAUUGAAAAGAUCUUUCUAAUUUCAGGAUGGAGUUCUUGUGAGCUGGUAAGGCUGUAUGUAAAAAAAACAUGUCACAGUGCUGUUGAAGGAAGAAAAGCACGUUCUGGUAUUCAGUUGUUUUGCCAGUUCUCUUAUGUUUCAGCACAGGUUGCAACACCUCUCAGAGUUCCAAGCCACUUUUUCCUCACCUGUCCCUGCCUGCUGUCUGUAAUUUAGGUGUGCCUCAUGAGCUCCUCUGUGAAGUUUAUAUAAUUAAAAUAACCUUUGUGGAGGAGCAAAGAGCAAUUCGGUUUGACUGGGAACCUUGACUUGACUUUGCUUAGUGCAGUGGUUUCCUUAACACAAUGUAAAAUCAAAUAAGUAGCUGAGUAUGACACUAAUGGUCCAGAAAAUAUAUAAGAUACUAGAGACACAGAGAACAGUAAUAGGAAUGGGGAGAAAAAUAGCCUGAAUUUCUCACUCGUGCUCUUUGCUUCCACAUUACAAUGUGUGAAAGACAGCAGAAGCUUAUGUGUUGUUAGCCAGCAGGCAUGGCCACCCCAAAUGCCACCUAUCAUACAGGAACUUUUUAAUGCAGGGUCCAGAAAUCCAUGGUUAGAUUCUCAUUCUGCUCUUCAUAAGCCCCAACCCAGAGAAGAAAAAUGUCUUAUAAUUCUGGAAGAGUCAGUCUGUGAACACUACAUCCCUCCUUCAAAGAAAGUAAAUUCCUGGUACUGCCCAGCACGCUUUUUGCUCACCAUUUCAUUUUUAUGAGCUCUAAAUAUAGUUCCCAAUUGAAAAAGCUGAAACAUUUAAUGUCUAAGAUAGAAUAAUGUGAACUGAUCAAAACUGGCAUUGAUAUAGCCUCUCUCUCAUCUCUUGCUCUUUGUUCCUGGCACCUUCUUUGCACCGAGUGUUUUUCUGACUAAGCCAUGAGCCAAAUUGGUAAAAAUAGACUCCCAAACUGCUGACCAAACAUUUCCACCUCCUUUCUUCAAUCAGAUCUAAUGCUCAUGUACUAUAUGCUGUGUUGAUUCAGCAUUCAAAACCAAUGAAAUAAAAAACUGGUCUGUUUCUUUGUAUUUCUCAUAUCAGUUCGCUUUCCCAUAAGCUUUAUCUUAUCCUCUUACCCCACAGCUGUGACCAAUUCACCAAUGCACAGGAGAGCUUGGGGAAGGGGAGGCCAAACAGAAGAGUUUUUUGUUUUGUUUUGGUGGGGUUUUUUUUUUGUUUGUUUUUUUGGGUUUUUUUUUGUUUUUUUAGUGGAAGCCUCUAACUAGAGAGGUCUAGGCUGAAGAGUGGUUCAGGAUGGUCAAAAUUGACCUGAAGCCCUCUGAGAAAUGGUUCAGCCUGUGCUCAGCUGCAAGAGCACUGGCAAAAUGUGAGAGAAUUGUCUUGUCUUGCUGGGGAGUUUCAGGGCUAAACCCUCUUUUUUGCUGAUCUCAAGGGCUCACUUCUUAUAGUGGUAUAAGCCUAAAGUAACCCAUUGUCAAGUGGUUUAAGCUUUUUUUACACUGAAAGUGUAGCUUCAGUCUAAAAACAUGCAACUUAUGAGAAGUGUAUUGAAUUGGAACUUGUCCCAUGGAACUGGGGAAUGAAGUAGUUCAGAGUGCAGAUUCAGCUACUAAUGAUGGCUGGAUAGUAUUCCAGUUGAAUCAGCUUGCAUGAACCAUCUUUAAUGUGCCCGCAUGAACAUUAGCACUGGCUGGCAUGGGAGAGGAGGACAAAGCUAUAGUAACAUAGGCUUAAAUUGCAAUGACAUUUUGUCCUGGAGUGAGCUGAUAAGCAGGUUACAUCUCUGCAGGUGGGGAGAUUUAAUCAAUGAAACUACAAUCAGCCCAGACCAGAAAAAAAGCAGUGGGAGUAGAAGGUGGAGAUUUCACUGACUCCAUUCCGUCGGGGAGUAAUCCCGUCCGUGUUUUCCCUCCAACCGAGUGACUCCAUUUCCAUGUUGAAAUGGAUGGUGAGGAUGGGAGAAGGUCUGGGAUGCUCUUUUCCCUCUGCUUUAAAUCGUUGGCUUUGCUGGUUCAGAGGAAGCCAAGAGUAGGACUGACAAGACAGAUGGAAGCUGCUGAACUGUUACACAGCUUGUUAGGGAAGCGCAGAGCCCUUUAAAGCUGAGGCUGCAGCCAGGGUUUACCUCUUGAGAAACAGCAGCAAUCCCCAAAGUAAGUAGUUUGCAUGGGCUACGAAUCUGCCUCAAAAUAAGCAGCAUGCAUGCAGCCUGUAAGGCUGAACUCCAAAUAAACCCUUUUUAUUUCAGCUGCAAUAUGGGAUGACACUGAGCAAACAUAUUGUGAGUCUCCCCUGUUCUGUGCUCAGUAUCCCAGACCACUGACUGUGCUGCCACACCAAGCUGUGGGUCACACAUCUGUAGUCCUUAUAUAGAUAAAAAUUCCUGCUAUGUUAAUAACAGAUCUGCGAGGAAUUUUGCUUUUGCUUCAGCUGGUUAAUGCACCAUUGCCUUGCUCCAGCUGGAUGCUUGAUGCUGCACCUGGAAGCUCGGGCAGAACGAUGCAGUCCAUGGAUGAUUUACAGGAUUUUUAGCUGCUAAAUACUAGGCUUGUUACAUGCACAUACUGCUGGGGCUUUGAGAACUGAUUUUUAAAUUUUUUUUCAAAGGAAUCUUGGACAAGUUUCAUGGUUGUGGCAGCAAAAGGCUCAUUGGUGGCAGGAUGCUGAGCUCACUGCUUUCUGGUAAAAAGGCUCUUUUUCUUCCAAAGCAAACUGUCACAACAGCAAAACUACUGUGCAUCUUUUCAAGACACACAUAGUGUUUUGUCUGCUAAGUGUAUUCUUAGAACCAGAUGAUCAUUUUAGCUGAAACUUUCUUAAAAUACCUGAAUCUGAGCCAGAUAUGUAAGGCAGAAGACAUUGUCCUGACAGCUGGAGUUUGGGGAGGUUAGAAGCAAGCAUAAACUAGACCUUACAGAAGGAAGUACUGGGCCAGCUAAUGAUGGAGAUUAUCAUCUUUUCCCAUUGCUGUUCCUGAUGACAGAAGAACAAAAGGUGCCCUUCUGCUUCCUAGCGAGGUCUCCAAAAUAAGGAAAGAAUAAUGGUCUUUGUUUAUGGUGAAAGGGAUUUUGACUGAGGUUAGCAGAGAAGCAAAGCAUCUUGGCAUUGUGUGUGAGGUAGAAGCUGCCCACACUUGGUGCUAAGUGUGCCUCCUAGAGCACAAGGAGCUAGAAAGGGUGAGAUGCUUUUGGUUUUGGCUUCAUUUAGAGCUGUUGUUGUACUCUCAACUUCUGUUUUCAGCUUGGAGACCUGAGAUUAAUUAAAAAUGCAGCAUAGAAUUUCCCAUCUUCCUGAAAAUAAAUGAUGUGAUCUCAUGGUGGUCCUGUAGGAGAUGCACAGGGAUGAAGUGGGAGACAAAAAAAUCAAGAAAAAAACUGCAUCAUACAGCUAUAUCUGUAUUAGGCCAAAUAUCUGUAUCCUGGGAUCAGAUUUCUGCUAUUUUGCUUGAGGGCAGCUUGUCCAUUCUGCUGGGAAAAGACACAGGGCGAGCCACAAGACGACCAUGGCUGUAUUGGGAAAGUUGGAGGAAAAGCAGACAUAUAGGAAAGGGAGUCCUGGGAGGUCUCUGUUUCUUUGGGGUGUAGCCCAUGUUUUCUACCUGGGGACAACCCCAUCUGUACAGCUCCUAAACCUGAAAGCACUGAUGCAUCUGGACAGCCUAAAGCAAGCAAGCCCAUGGUAAGGACUGGGAGAUGAGAAGUCAAGCCUCUGCCAGAAGCAAAGAGCCCAGCGCCAUGCACAGCAAAGGGGUAUGGGCAGCUAGGCUGUAAAAUUACAGCCAAAAUUACAAGAUGCUGCUUGCCAACUAUGUGGCUGGAAGGAGCAUGCCAGAGCAGACUGGGUUUCCUUCUCACCAUUGUCUGGCCUCGUGUUAGCCACUGCCUCUGCACAGUGUCUGGAUGAUGCACUAAAAACUGGAAAUAGAAGUACAGAAGUAAAAACUUGACUAAAAUGUCCAAGCUCAGGGGUGUUUCUGCAACAGUUGAAAAACUAGUGGGCAUGUCACAAUUAAAACUGAGCAAUAUCGACAGUGGGUGAUGGUGCUUCUAUGCCAGGAUUCCCACAAUGAGCAAGACAAGAUGUAUGUUGCACCUCUGGUGUCAGCUGGAAGGAGCCUAUUUCUUGAAGCAACAGGUCCUUUUCUGGUCCACACAUUUUCAGGGCAUCUCAUUUCACAUUUGCAGUCAUCUCAGAUCUUCUCACAAUCAAACUAAUUUCAAUACUUUCUUCCAACACAGAGCAGUCUUUACUGAGCACAUGGUAUCUUGGAAAACCUCUCAUAAAAUGACCAAGGAUAGAAUAGAAUAGUGCUGUGUGAAGUGACCUACUCUUGUGGGCCUGAUUUUUCUGAGUCUGAGAGAGUUCCAGCCUGUCAGUGGCUGAUCUGUUCCCAAGGGAAAGUCUCUUGAGAACAUCUCUUGCUCAAGGACUAUUUUUGUAAAUAAUUUCAUUUUCUCACAACAGUUCUGUACAGCUGUGAUUAGUGUGUUUUUCUCUUGUCCCACCAAUGGGACAGAGAGGUGAUGUUCCCUUUACCAAUCAUGUUAAACCUGUAUCGUAAUACCCUAUAAAAAGCUGCAGAGUUUGGAUAAUAAAGUUUUCUGAUCAUCUCGCUCUGGCUACUGUGAUUGAACCCACACUUCUACUUUGUGUCCAAUAGUGAUAUACACUGAUCCUCUAGCUGAGCUUCUGGGCCGCUGGAAGUUCCUUGCAGUUAAGAGUUUGCUGGAGGAUCACACUGCAGCCCACUUUGCUUUCCAAUUACUCCUGUUUGCCUGCAGAGCUUCAGAGGUGCCUACAUGGACUUCCUAGUUCACCACUGUAUGUCUGUUUGCCAAGUGUUUACUUGACCUAAAUUCUUUUGAAGACCAUCAGUUGUGACAACUUAGCACAGACUUUACAGAACUGGGUAGCUGAUUAAUAAGCACUGUGACCUGGACUCAAAAGCUCUGACAUUUUAUCAACAGUACAGGCAGGGUUUUUUUUCAAUUUUAUUUAUUUUUUAAUAAAUUUCUACAGAUUUCUUAAACUAUAUUUUUUUUUUUCUAAGUGUGAGAUUGAGCUGUUGUAUAUAUGUCUUAAAUUGCUAGUUCACCUUUCAGUUCUCAGCAUAACAUCUCUCCAGAAAGGGAUUUAAUUCUGAAGACUGUUGUGAUUCUCACUGAGUAGCUGUAUUAUACCAGGUAACUCACUGGAUUCAGAUGUCUGUUUUUAAUGCCAGUUGUUAUUGUGACAUGAUUAAAGGCACAAAAAUAUUUUA